rnacentral:rRNA from 1 species
AGGAAAAGAAACUAACAAGGAUUCCCCUAGUAACGGCGAGUGAACCGGGAAGAGCUCAAAUUUGAAAUCUGGCGUCCUCAGGGCGUCCGAGUUGUAAUCUAUAGAGGCGUUUUCCGUGCCGGACCGUGUCCAAGUUCCUUGGAACAGGAUAUCAAAGAGGGUGACAAUCCCGUACUUGACACGACGACCGGUGCUCUGUGAUACGUCUUCUACGAGUCGAGUUGUUUGGGAAUGCAGCUCAAAAUGGGUGGUGAGUUCCAUCUAAAGCUAAAUAUUGGCGAGAGACCGAUAGCGAACAAGUACCGUGAGGGAAAGAUGAAAAGCACUUUGGAAAGAGAGUUAAACAGUACGUGAAAUUGUUGAAAGGGAAACGAUUGAAGUCAGUCGUGACCGAGAGGCUCAGCCGGUUCUGCCGGUGUAUUCCCCUCGGUCGGGUCAACAUCAGUUUUGUCCGGUGGAUAAGGGCGGUAGGAAGGUGGCACCCUCGGGUGUGUUAUAGCCUGCCGUCGCAUACAUCGGGUGAGACUGAGGAACGCAGCUCGCCUUUAUGGCCGGGGUUCGCCCACGUCCGAGCUUAGGAUGUUGACA